rnacentral:lncRNA from 1 species
GUCUUUAGAAAGGUCUAAGGACUAUGUCCCUAACACGUGAAGUCUUGCUUGAGAAUGCUUCGGGCACUUGGCUGUGGAAGGAAGAAUGGAAAUUGUAAUAACAAAAUCCUAAUUCUAAUAGAAUACUAACAAUGCUUUAAUUAGAUCAUAAUAGUGCUAAGCAAACUUAAUCAAAUUCAAAAAAAUCUCAAGAAAUUUCAAACAAACAAUAAGAAUUCUUAAAGAAAUAUUAGAAGGAUCACAAAUAUCACUCAAAUACAUCUCAAUUCAAUCUUAAUUUAAUUUUAGUUAAAAUCCUAUUGAACUUCAUUCAAACUUUAGGCCAAACCUAAUUAAAUCUUAAAUCCUAAUAAAAUCCUAAACCCUAAAUCAAACCCUAAACAAAUCUUAAAUCAAAUUCCAACCAAAUCCUAAACCAAAUCCUAACCAAAUUUUAACCAAAUCCUAAAUCAAAUCCUAAACCCUAAAUCAAACCCUAACCAAAUCCUAAUCUAAAUCCUAAAUUCUAAUCCAAACCCUAAAUAAAAUCUAAACCAAACCCUAAUACAAAUCCUAAACCUUAAUCAAAUCUUAAACAAAUCUUAAACCAAAUUCCAACCAAAUCCUAAACCAAAUCCUAACCAAAUCCUAAUCAAAUCCUAAACCAAACUUUAAAUCCUAAAUCAAACCCUAAUCAAAUCCUAAUCCGAAUCCUAAUCCAAAUCCUAAACCCUAAACCAAAUCCUAAUCCAAAUCCUAAAUAAAAUCCUAAUCAAGCCAAAUCCUAAUCCAAAUCCUAAAUAAAAUCCUAAUCAAGCCCUAAUACAAAUCUUAAAUCCUAAAUCAAAUCCUAAUCAAAUCCUAACCAAAUCCUAAACCCUAAAUCAAAUCCUAACCAAACCCUAAACCCUAAAUCAAACCCUAAUCCAAAUCCUAAAUCCUAAACCAAAAUCUAACCAAACCCUAAACCAAACCCUAGUAAUUCCUAUAAUAGAUUUAAAUCUCAAUAACUAAUGAAUAAAC